rnacentral:SRP_RNA from 1 species
UCGGGUAAGUCAUACACGACCAGCUCCUGCUGAAUCCCCCAGGACCGGAAGGUAGCAAGGGUAGGUGGUUGUAGCGGUGCGAUGUAUUCAGCUUACCCU